rnacentral:rRNA from 1 species
CAGUAGCCACGGUAAUACGUAGGUGGCAAGCGUUGUCCGGAAUUAUUGGGCGUAAAGGGCUUGCAGGCGGUUUCUUAAGUCUGAUGUGAAAGCCCCCGGCUCAACCGGGGAGGGUCAUUGGAAACUGGGAAACUUGAGUGCAGAAGAGGAGAGUGGAAUCCCACGUGUAGCGGUGAAAUGCGUAGAGAUGUGGAGGAACACCAGUGGCGAAGGCGACUCUCUGGUCUGUAGCUGACGCUGAGGAGCGAAAGCGUGGGGAGCGAACAGGAUUAGAUACCCCAGUAGUCCCUGUCUCUUAUAA